CGUCACCUUCCUAAAAUAAUGGCCUAAGUCAUUUUUUCAGGUUUUUCAGAAAACACAAAAAACUAAACGGCCUAAGUCACACGCUUGACAUAGGCAAUUAUACUAAAGCUGUAGAAUCACAAGACCUGUUCAACUGAGGAUGUAGGCAAUUUUACCAGAGGUGGCCAGCACCAUGAGGAGAUGAUUUAGGCAAAAAAAUACUUUUUGUUAAGCCAUUUUUU